GACGGGGAGUCCGCGCCAAGCGGGCUGAGAGGGGGCCGACGGGCGGCCCCGACCCUUCGAACCUGAUCCGGGUCAUGCCGGCGUAGGAACACGGAAA
rnacentral:ncRNA from 1 species